rnacentral:misc_RNA from 1 species
AGCAGCCGCGGUAAUUCCAGCUCCAAUAGCGUAUAUUAAAGUUGUUGCAGUUAAAAAGCUCGUAGUUGAAUUUCGAGACCGGUUUACUGGUCGUGCUUUUGUACGUACUGGUAUUAUUGGUUUCUCCUUUCUGACGAACUAUAAUGCCAUUAAUUUGGUGUUAUAGGGAGUCAGGACUGUUACUUUGAAAAAAUUAGAGUGUUUAAAGCAGGCUCACGCUUGAAUACAUUAGCAUGGAAUAACGGAAUAGGACGUUUGAUUCUAUUUUGUUGGUUUCUAGGAUCGACGUAAUGAUUAAUAGGGAUAGUUGGGGGCAUUAGUAUUCAAUUGUCAGAGGUGAAAUUCUUGGAUUUAUUGAAGACUAACUACUGCGAAAGCAUUUGCCAAGGAUGUUUUCAUUAAUCAAGAACGAAAGUUAGGGGAUCGAAGACGAUCAGAUACCGUCGUAGUCUUAACCAUAAACUAUGCCGACUAGGGAUCGGAUGAUGUUAAUUUUUUAAUGACUCAUUCGGCGCCUUAC